rnacentral:rRNA from 1 species
AUGCAGCGACGCCGCGUGAGGGAUGACGGCCUUCGGGUUGUAAACCUCUUUCAGUAGGGACGAAGCGCAAGUGACGGUACCUAUAGAAGAAGGACCGGCCAACUACGUGCCAGCAGCCGCGGUAAUACGUAGGGUCCGAGCGUUGUCCGGAAUUACUGGGCGUAAAGAGCUCGUAGGUGGUUUGUCGCGUUGUUCGUGAAAACUCACAGCUCAACUGUGGGCGUGCGGGCGAUACGGGCAGACUAGAGUACUGCAGGGGAGACUGGAAUUCCUGGUGUAGCGGUGGAAUGCGCAGAUAUCAGGAGGAACACCGGUGGCGAAGGCGGGUCUCUGGGCAGUAACUGACGCUGAGGAGCGAAAGCGUGGGGAGCGAACAGGAUUAGAUACCCUGGUAGUCCACGCCGUAAACGGUGGGUACUAGGUGUGGGUUUCCUUCCUUGGGAUCCGUGCCGUAGCUAACGCAUUAAGUACCCCGCCUGGGGAGUACGGCCGCAAGGCUAAAACUCAAAGAAAUUGACGGGGGCCCGCACAAGCGGCGGAGCAUGUGGAUUAAUUCGAUGCAACGCGAAGAACCUUACCUGGGUUUGACAUGCACAGGACGUGCCUAGAGAUAGGUAUUCCCUUGUGGUCUGUGUGCAGGUGGUGCAUGGCUGUCGUCAGCUCGUGUCGUGAGAUGUUGGGUUAAGUCCCGCAACGAGCGCAACCCUUGUCUCAUGUUGCCAGCACGUAAUGGUGGGGACUCGUGAGAGACUGCCGGGGUCAACUCGGAGGACGGUGGGGAUGACGUCAAGUCAUCAUGCCCCUUAUGUCCAGGGCUUCACACAUGCUACAGUGGCCGGUACAAAGGGCUGCGAUGCCGUGAGGUUCGCAGGGCAUCACU